AUUAAAUCAGCUAUGGUUCCUUAGAUCGUAAAURCUACAUGGAUAACUGUAGUAAUUCUAGAGCUAAUACAUGCCUUGAAUCCCUGACCCGCAAGGGAACGGGUGCAUUUAUUAGAACAGAACCAAYCGGGCGCGGCUUCGGCUGUGCCUGYUACAUUCUGUGAUGACUCUGGAUAACUUUACUGAUCGCAGUCGGCCUUGUGUCGGCGACGGAUCUUUCAAAUGUCUGCCCUAUCAAUUUGUUGGUAGGUGAUUUGCCUACCAUGAUGAUAACGGGUAACGGGGAAUCAGGGUUCGAUU
rnacentral:rRNA from 1 species